rnacentral:rRNA from 1 species
AUUGAACGCUGGCGGCAUGCCUAACACAUGCAAGUCGAACGCGUGGCGGACGGGUGAGGAAUGUCUGGGAAACUCCCUGAUGGAGGGGGAUAACUACUGGAAACGGUAGCUAAUACCGCAUACCAUCAGAUGUGCCCAGAUGUGAUUAGCUGGUAGGUGGGGUAAAGGCUCACCUAGGCGACGAUCCCUAGCUGGUCUGAGAGGAUGAACAGCCACACGGGAACUGAGACACGGUCCAGACGCCUACGGGAGGCAGCAGUGGGGAAUAUUGCACAAUGGGGGCAAGCCUGAUGCAGCCAGGCCGCGGGUGUGAAGAAGGCCUUCGGGUUGUAAGGCACUUUCAGCGGGGAGACGUUACCCGCAGAAGAAGCACCGGCUAACUCCGUGCCAGCAGCCGCGGUAAUAC